rnacentral:lncRNA from 1 species
GAAAAGCAAAAAGAAUCCAUAAAUGAGAGUAAAGGGAGGAUGUAUUGAUUGUUUAGGACUCAGAUCGCGAAACGGAUCAAAGAAGAGGAAGAGCAAAGGUGAUGAAGAAUCGAUCUGAGUUAGGGUCUGAGAAACGCGUAAGGGAGAGGUCGUUUGGUUCGCGUCUAUGCCCACCAAUGAUCUGAUGGGCUUCAGAAAACACGGUAAGCCCAAUUGUGCUAAACACAUUUGUUUUUUUUUUUAAAUACGGUAGGCCCAAGAAAGGCAACACAUAUGACAUGGCAAAAAUGUGCUUUCUGAUUGGGUGAUUAAAUUGUCCUACGUGGACAGGCUGGUUGAGGCUGAUAAUCAGCUUUUAUUACUUAUAGAUGAUUAACUUCAGUCUCUUAACUGAGAUUCUUGGGUUCUUAGUUUCGGGUAAAAGAUGGUUCUUAGCAUUUUUAGAUUUUAACUAAGAAAAGUUAAGAAUCGUUUCUUAAACAAGAGAUAUAAAAGCCGUUUUUUAUUCGAAAACUAUAAAAAAAAAACAAAAAAGUGUCAAAUUAUGAUUAAAAACCUUAGCUAAGAGACCAGAGUUAAUCGUGCCCUAAGC